AUGGCGAGCCGAGGGGGCCGCGGCGGCGGCCGGGCGAACCCCGACGCUGCCCAGGCCGGGUAUGGCGGCCGCGGCGGCGCUGGUCGUGGGCGUGUUGAUGGUGGUGGCCGUGGCCGCGGGUACUACCAAGGGGAUGGGGGCGGUGAUGGUGGUGGCCGUGGCCGUGGUUACUACCAAGGAGACGGUGGCGGGGGUCGUGGGUACUACCAGGGUGGCGGUGAUGGCGGCGGGAGAGGGCGUGGGUACUACCAGGGAGAGGGCGAGGACCGUGGGUACUACCAGGGAGGCGGUGAUGGCGGCGGCGGAAGAGGGCGUGGGUACCAAGGCGGCGGCGAUGGCGGUGGCCGCGGCCGAGGACGCGGCUACCAAGGCGGCGGCGGCGAUGGUGGAGGCCGCGGCCGUGGCUACGAAGGUGCUGGCGAUGGCGGGCGCGGCCGAGGCCGUGGCUAUCAGCAGGGCGGCAACGACUACGGCGGCGGCCUUGGUGGCAGCAACUACGGCGGUGGCCGUGGUGGCAACAACUACGGCGGCCGCGGUGGCAGAGGAAGAGGCCAGAACCAGCCCGACCCCCUCGCUCUCCAAGUCGCGGGGCCUCCCCUCUCCGAGCGCUACCACACAGAGGCGGCCCAGCUCCGGGAGAAGUUCCAGGCGAUGGCCAUCAGCCGUGCCGAGCCGAUGUUCCCGGGCCGCCCUGGGUUCGGCUCCAAGGGGCAGGUGUGCGUGGUGAGGGCCAACCACUUCUUCGUCGGCCUCGUGGACAAGGGCCUGCACCAGUACGACGUGGCCAUGUCGCCGGAGCCGACCAUGACGGGCGUUUUCCGAGCUGUCAUGUCCACUCUUGUGAAGGAGCACCAGGACACCACUCUUGGCGGUCGCCUCCCAGCUUACGACGGCCGCAAGAGCCUGUACACCGCGGGCGAGCUGCCCUUUACAACCAAGGAGUUCGAGGUCACCUUACCUGACAAAAAUCCAGGUCCACCUGGGCAAAGGAGGGAGAGGAAGUUCAAGGUGACCAUCAAGCACGCCACCCUGGUCAGCCUGCAGCAGCUGCAGAUGCUCAUGUCCGGGAUCCCCACGGACAUACCUGCGCAGGCGCUGCAGGUGCUCGACAUUGUGUUGCGUGACAUCGUGCUCAACGAACGGGAUGACAUGGGGUUCGUCCCGGUAGGCCGGUCUUUCUUCUCGCGGACCGUCGAGGAUCCCAUCCAGUUAGGCCAGGGCAUCGAAGGAUGGAAUGGGUUCUACCAGAGCAUCAGACCCACCCAAAGUGGAUUGUCCCUCAACAUUGACAUGUCUUCGACUGCUUUUGUUGGAGGGGGGUCGCUGAUUGAUUUCAUCAAGGAGAUUCUUAACAGGAGAGAUCUCUCUCGCGGCAUUCAAAAUGAACUUGAUUAUGUGAAGAUUAAGAAGGCCCUCAGGGGUCUAAGGGUUGAGGUCACCCACCGAGGACAGAUGCGCAGGAAAUACCGCAUUGCUGGCUUGACAAAGGAUUCUGCCAGAGAAUUGAGGUUCCAAUUAUCGACCGGCGAAAGCAAGACUGUGAGGGACUACUUUCGAGAAACCUACAAGCUGCAGCUGCGUUACGAUUUUCUCCGAUGCCUGCAAGUUGGUACAGAACAGAAACCCAACUAUCUUCCAAUAGAGGUCUGCAAUAUAGUUCCAGGACAGCGGUACCAAAAGAAGCUGGAUGACAGCCAGGUUUCUAAAAUGAUGGCUAUAGCCUGCCAGAGUCCAGCUGGGCGUGAGACCUCCAUUCGCAAGUCUGUUCUGGAGAAUAAAUAUAACAGUGCCAAACGUGCAAAUGAGUUUGGUAUAGAAGUUGACAGCAACCCAACUUCUGUUCGGGCUAGAGUUCUGCCUGCUCCAAAGCUGAGGUACCAUGGUACUGAGUCUUGCUUCCCAGAAAAUGGGGCGUGGAACAUGAGAGGCAAGAAAGUCAUAAAUGGUGCCAAGGUUGGUAUUUGGGCAUGUGUAAACUUUUGCAAUGAGUUGCCUGAGGAUGAAGUUCGUAUCUUCUGCCACAAACUGAGUGAAAUGUCCUCCACAACUGGAGUGAACUUCAACGGUGCAAAACUUAAGAUAUUCCAUGCUCGUUCAGAUCAAGUUGAAGCCAAACUCCGUGAAGUACGUCAGCAAGCGGGGAAUAUGAAGAUUGACCUCUUACUUGCUAUAUUGCCAAAUAAAAAUGGCAGCCUGUAUGGUGAUAUUAAAAGGAUCUGUGAAACAGACAUUGGUCUGAUGUCGCAGUGUUGUCUACUUAAAAAUGUCGAGAAAUCAAGUCCUCAGUUUCUUGCGAAUGUUGCUCUUAAGAUCAAUGCCAAGUGUGGGGGGAGGAACUCGGUAUUUGCUGAUCUACCAGUAAGCCUACCAGUUGUUUGGAAAAAGCCAACGAUUAUCUUCGGUGCAGAUGUUACUCAUCCUAGUGCUCUAGAUGAUACUGCCCCAUCCAUUGCUUCUGUUGUUGCCUCCCAAGACUGGCCUGAGGUGACCAAGUAUCAUGGUGAUGUUCAUGCACAAGGUCACCGCGUAGAGCUCAUUGAAGGCCUUGAGGGCAUUGUAAAGAAGCUGCUACUUUCGUUUGAAAAGCAAUCCAAACAGAGGCCGCUGCAGCUGAUAUUCUAUAGGGAUGGUGUAAGUGAGGGUCAGUUCAGAAAGGUUCUGGAGGAUGAGAUCCCACUGAUAGAAAAGGCAUGGAAGGCUUUAUACAAUGAGAAGCCGCCAAUUACCUUCAUAGUGGUGCAGAAGAGGCACCAUACAAGACUGUUCCCAAGUGAUGGCAAAUAUCAGGACAACAGUGGAAAUGUUAUGCCAGGCACAGUUGUUGAUAGGCAGAUCUGCCACCCAACAGAGUUUGAUUUCUUCCUCUGUAGCCAUGCUGGUAUCAAGGGAACAAGCCGUCCUGCGCAUUACCAUGUGCUGCGAGAUGACAACAACUUCAGUGCUGAUGACCUGCAGUCUCUUACAAACAACCUGUGCUACACGUAUGCAAGCUGCACUCGCUCUGUGUCGACUGCUCCUCCUGCAUACUACGCUCAUAAACUUGCGUUCCGUGCGCGAUUCUACCUAGGCCAAGUCCCAGACAUGGCGUCGGAGAUAAGCGCCGGCAGUGCACCUCCUCCAUUGAUGCUUCCUGAGAUAAAAGAUGGGCUGAAAAGCCACAUGUUCUACUGCUAG
rnacentral:rRNA from 1 species